GACGAACGCUGGCGGCGUGCUUAACACAUGCAAGUCGAACGGAAAGGCCCUGCUUUUGUGGGGUGCUCGAGUGGCGAACGGGUGAGUAACACGUGAGUAACCUGCCCUUGACUUUGGGAUAACUUCAGGAAACUGGGGCUAAUACCGGAUAGGAGCUCCUGCUGCAUGGUGGGGGUUGGAAAGUUUCGGCGGUUGGGGAUGGACUCGCGGCUUAUCAGCUUGUUGGUGGGGUAGUGGCUUACCAAGGCUUUGACGGGUAGCCGGCCUGAGAGGGUGACCGGCCACAGUGGGACUGAGAUACGGCCCAGACUCCUACGGGAGGCAGCAGUGGGGAAUAUUGCACAAUGGGCGGAAGCCUGAUGCAGCAACGCCGCGUGCGGGAUGACGGCCUUCGGGGUGUAAACCGCUUUCGCCUGGGACGAAGCGUGAGUGACGGUAAUGGGUAAAGAAGCACCGGCUAACUACGUG
rnacentral:rRNA from 1 species